AAACAGCCGUAGCGAGCAGAGGCAGCGCCGCUUGGAGGAAAUGAUUCCUGUCACGUAGCCAAAGGGGGCAUAUUUACAUGGCCCCACAUGAUGUGAUGAGGAAAUCCUGUUGCAGAGAAUUCAGGAGAAAAACAAGUAGCUUGCCUGCUCUGCCCCUGUAUUUUGGAAGUCCUGCCUCCACUCCUGCACAGGU